AUUUUGGACAAUGGGGGCAACCCUGAUCCAGCAAUGCCGCGUGCAGGAAGAAGGCCUUCGGGUUGUAAACUGCUUUUGUACGGAACGAAAAGGCUCUGGUUAAUACCUGGAGCACAUGACGGUACCGUAAGAAUAAGCACCGGCUAA
rnacentral:rRNA from 1 species